ACGAAGGGAAGCCCCUCUUCUCGCGAUUUUUUUUCUCGGCACAGCUAGGGCACGCGAUCUCCAGCACCGCAACCUUCCUUUCUUCUCUCCGGCCGGAAGCCUCUCUUCCUUUGCUUUCACUACCGCCGGCUGGACCUCCACAGCCCACAACUUCUCCUUCUCAGAUUCCAGCGGCGAGCGACAGCAACACACUCGACGGGGGUAGCGAGCGACGGCGACGAUUCCGAUCAUCUUCACCUCACCGGAGAUGUUCUCCGGUGUGAUCUCCACUGUCCGGCUUUCUUCUGGCAGCUCCGCUUCUUGGGGUUCAGGCGGUGGAGCAAGAAGCAACACCGGCAGUAGUCCAUCCACCAUUUCCAGCCAUUUCCAGCGAGGGGUUUCUUCGGUGGAAGAUUCACACCAUCAUCGUCGUCGAAGGUGCAGCAACCAUCAGAGUGCUACUGUCCAACGGCUUCGGGGUUCGAUCGCCGGGUCUUUCAUGUGAAAACGGAGGAUAGUCAUUGGAAUCGGGAGCGGAGUGUGAAUUGUGGUUGGAAGUCUUGGUUUAUUUCAUGUUUACUGUUGAUGUUUGUUAAUUCUUAUUAAAUGUUUGUAGGAAACUUAGAUCCUCAUGUUUAGAUUGCACACACUUUAUCUAAUUUGUUUCAUGCAUAUGACGUGUUCGAUGAAAUGUUUCUUUAAGUCGUUAGGUUCAAUUUGAUGCAUUUUAACUUGUUUAAUUCUUGUUUUAUCUUGUUUUUUCAAUUUCGUUAGGUUCUAGUUUUGAUUGAAUGUAAUCAUGAUACAUUAGUUUAAGUUUUGUUUCACGGUAUGUUUUGUUCCAUGCUUAGUUUUAUUGAUGCUUUACAUUAUAUUGUCUUUUAUUUUCUGCACUUGCAGUUAAGUUAGAUUUAGCUUCCAUUUACUUGCAUUGUCUUUUAUUUAUUAGAUUAGGUUUCAUUUAAUGUUUUAUCAUUUCUUACCUUAGUUUAAUUGUGUCGAUAGCUAAUCCAUAGCGUUAGAUUUCAUUCCAGCAUUAGAUUAGUUUCCUACUUAUCGUGCUUUUCAUUUGUUAGAUCUAGAAUCAAAAUCCAAAACCCCCACAUCAAUAUCUCCUAGCUAUAAGUGCUUUAAUUUAAUGAUAGACUCAUAAGAUUUAUGCAGAAAAUUUCAUAUUUAACCAAUUGUAUUAUAUUGCAAGCGUGGAUAUAUGAACAUGUUAGAAUAAUGGAUCCUUACAGACAGCAUCCCCUUCUAACAAUAUGCAGAUGGAAGUGGUCAGGCUCCCGUGUGGAAACAAUAAAGUCUAGGAUCGCGGAAUUAUCUGCUGUCAAAAUAAUUGUUGAUUUAAGUUCAUCGGACCUAGAGACACAUCUGCUCUCAAACGAUUCUCUAGACAAUGUUAUAGAGCAUAUAGAUUAAUAAAUUGUUGAGGGGUUUUUAUAAUUAGCUGCUGAGCAACAUCCUGAACAAGUUCUUGAGCAAUUUCCUGAACAGGUAGCCGACGCUUAGGAAAAUCCCCAAGCAUGGCCUGAGCAGGAGAAAGAGGCUUGUACAAAUUAUCAAGCAAGGGAGGCCGAAAUUGUGCAUUUGGAGUCUGCAGUUGAGGGCAAGGACCGACUCAUUGCCAGAUGGAGGCAAGAAUUAGAGAGUUAAUUGUUGAGAUUUAAUUAUGUGCCAGUGAUGCAGAAACUUCAUUAACUUCCAAGGACAAAACAAUUGAUGAGAAGGAUAGAAUUAUAGAUGUAAAAGAUCAAACUAUAACAGAGCAAGAUAGAAAAAUUAAAGAUCUUCAAAGUCAGUUGCUUGCCAAGGAUAUAGUGCCAUUACCUGCCAAUCGGCCAUUAACAAGAUAAAGAGGUGUGCUACAAAGAGAAGGGCACCCUCAACUGCCAAGAGGGAGUUCCCUUCGCCAAAAGGAGUAAAAGAGUCACUUUCCAAAAUGAGGAGGAGAUAGAGAUGGCCAAGGGCAAAGGAGAGGAAAAUGUUGAGCCUCCUGUUAAAGUACCAGAUGCCCCUGUCUCAUCUACUGGUGUUGCUGCCACAUCAUCAUCAACUAAACUCUUGCAUACGCUUGUCAAACAAAAAUCCAAAAUCAUUAAGUGUUCGAAAUUUCGCCCUAGGUGGCCGCCUAGGCGCCGCUUAGGCGUUGUGCGGUGGCAGGCCGCGUCGGAAACCAACCAGGCGGAAGACCUAGGCAGCCCUCUGCGGUUCUCGGCGAGCUUCGGCGGCCAUCGUGGGCUUCAGCGGGCUUAGAUUAUAUGUUAUCAAUGGCAAGCAAUCCAUCUUCGAUGGCAUCUGUCACUCAACCUGAAUCCGGGAUUCUUAGAAGAAAGUCAAAUGACAUCGGAUGGGAGUUUGGGAUAUUGAUUGAUCCUAAGAACCUCGACAAAAUUAAAUGUAAGUUAUGUGGAAAAGCAAUGUCAGGGGAGUGU